CAGUAAAAGACUGAGGAAGGACCUCUUUAAUCUGUGUUCACUGAUUAUUUUGAGUGCUAAAGACGGUUUUAGAAUUCUUGAAGGAGGGGUAAAAUCCGUUGAUAUAGGAAGACUUUCGAUGGCGAAGGCAUUUACCGAUUUGGUUCUGACGCUAGGUACUAAAGCUUGGGUAGAAAGAGGAUUAGAGACCUCGUAGUCCAUGCCUUAAACAAUGAGUGUUCAACGUCUUAUAAUACUCUGGACCACCUUGCAGUGGUAUCCUUUGAGGAUUAUUGGGGGUUUGAAGCUAACGCGCGAAACA
rnacentral:rRNA from 1 species